rnacentral:misc_RNA from 1 species
GAGAAUCUCUCAACGCAUGCGCAUUGUACGAAACUACUUGUAGGAGCGUGUUAUUUCUACUCGUUUAAACGAUUCUUUCACCGGUUUUCUAGUUUCAAACUAAUCAAUAAAGAUGACUUUGGCAAGAACUGUAAUCUUCAGAUUGGCGGGGAAGUCAAAGGUAUAUAUUCCAAAUUAAAUUGCUUAAAGUUCUCUGAUAUUUCGGUAAAGGAGGACGUUUCAUCCCCCAGCUAUAGUCAUUGAUAACUAAAUUGUUUCUGAUGAGGAUAUAGUAUUUACUAUAAAUCCAAAGAGGAAAUAAUAUAGUUACCUUUCAUGUGAGAUAUGAAGUAGGGUGUUACACAAUCGGACUAUGCUCUAAUUUUGAAUGGAAUUCAAUCAAGGUCAUUCUUGAAAGGCACUUAUCUAUACAAUAGAGAGAUAAACCAAAUUGAAAUUAUCUUGGUUCACUAAUAGGUAAUAGUAAGAUAUCCAUCUUUUUUCAUAGAUUCCAACUCCGGCUAUUUAUCAAGCAAGAGGCUAUGCUGAAGCCAGUAACAACAAUCUUAAGGAUGUUCUCUCGAACCUCGUUCCGCAACAGCAAGCACUUGUCAAGAAGUUCCGAAGCAAUCAUGGCGAUACCAAAGUGGGACAUGUCACCGUGGAUAUGAUGUAUGGAGGAAUGAGAGGAAUUAAGGGCCUCGUAACGGAAACAUCAGUUCUAGAUCCGGAAGAAGGAAUUCGUUUCAGAGGGUACAGUAUUCCUGAAUGUCAAAAUUUACUACCUAAAGCUCCAGGAGGAGAGGAGCCUUUACCAGAAGGUUUAUUCUGGUUAUUAGCCACUGGUGAUAUUCCCACUGAACAACAGGUAGCAAGCAUUACCGAGGAAUGGAAUAAGCGGGCACAUUUGCCAUCUCAUGUUGUUACCAUGUUGAACAACUUCCCCAACAAUAUGCACCCCAUGUCCCAAUUUGGAGCCGCUAUUACAGCUUGCAAUACUGAAUCCCGCUUUGCUAGAGCUUACGCUCAAGGUGUUUCUAAGGCUAGCUACUGGGAACAUGUUUAUGAAGACGCUAUGGACAUGAUUGCUAAAUUGCCUACAAUUGCAGCUAUAAUUUAUAGAAAUCUUUACAGAGAUGGAACAAGCGUUGGGGCAAUUGAUGAAAGCAAGGAUUGGUCUGCCAAUUUUGUGUCUAUGUUAGGAUAUGAAGAUGAAAAAUUUACUGAAUUAAUGCGAUUGUACUUGACAAUUCACUCCGAUCACGAAGGAGGAAAUGUCAGCGCCCAUACAUGUCAUUUAGUUGGAUCAGCUCUAUCAGAUCCUUAUUUGUCAUUUGCUGCUGGUAUGAACGGUUUGGCAGGUCCACUUCACGGUCUAGCAAAUCAAGAAGUACUUGUUUGGAUUACCAAGCUACAAGAAGCUGUAGGAGAUAAUCCAUCAGAUGAUACCAUCAAGGAAUUUAUCUGGAAUACUCUAAAUUCUGGACAAGUUGUACCUGGUUACGGACAUGCAGUUUUAAGAAAAACUGAUCCUCGUUAUACUUGUCAACGGGAAUUUGCAUUGAAGCAUCUUCCAAACGAUGCUACGUUUAAAAUUGUCGGGCAACUAUACAAAAUGGUACCAGAUAUUUUACAAGAACUUGGGAAAGUUGCUAACCCCUGGCCAAAUGUGGACGCUCACAGCGGUGUCCUUCUACAGUACUACGGAAUGAAGGAAAUGUCUUAUUAUACUGUUCUGUUUGGUGUAAGCAGAGCUUUGGGCUGUAUGAGCUCUUUGAUAUGGGAUAGAGCUUUCAAUUUACCUAUUGAAAGACCAAAAUCAAUGAGCACCGAAGGCUUGAUGAAACUCACGAAUUUUAAACCAUGAAAGAGACAAUACUGAAAUAAAAAGGACUCAAUAUCAUGUGUUAAAUAUAAAAUAAUAAGCUAUCAAUUGGACUAUUUCAGCUCUCUCUCUCGCUAUCUCUGCUAUUUUAGUUAGCAUUCCUGUUACAAAACGUAACGUUAAAUAAUUUUAGUUCUGUUCUAGAGUGUAAAGCAGAGCAUGAUUUUAUCCUACUGCAAUCUCUGUAAAAUAUUGUUUGGAAAAAUUAAGUAUUAGAUACUAAACAUAUUUUUCUCUAACAGUAGCACCAAUUCAUAGAAUCUACGUGUUGGAAAUAUUGUACAAAACCCUUAACAAUAUUUCCCUUGACCUAAUAAACUCAGCUAUAGUUAAAUCAUGUAAAAUGAGGAUGGUAAACAAGAUAUUUUAUUUUUGAAUUCUUUUGAAAGAAAAAUAUUUAUCUACUAGGUCAAGAUUAUAAAAAGAUUAUAAAUCUUUUGUAUUUGAGAAUAAAACUAGGACAACAUUCCCACAGUUUGAAUCAUAACUAUCUCGACAAAAGAGUCAAUUGAUAAUCAAAUUUAUGAGCUCCAUAAGUUGCAACAUGUUUUUGUAUAGAAAAAGGAAAUGAGGCAAAAACAACCUUUCUAGGCUUAGUUUCAGGACGGUGUCCGUAACUUUGAAUCCUGAAUAUAAUUCGAUCACAAUUUUCAUAGAUACCAAAUAUCUCAUAAAAAAUAAAAAAAUAUUACACUUAAUAAUUAUCUAAAUAGAAAAUGAUAUGUAUGUAAUUAAUAGAAAAACCCAAGAUCAAAUUGUUGGUUUCGUAAGUACUUCAUAUUUUUAGUAGGAUGAAUCCUCUAUAGUAAAAAACUUGAGACUGUUUCCAAAAGUCGACUUAUUAUCGUUCAGGUAUUUGACAAUUUUAGUUAAAUAUUCUGGAUAAAAAUCUUAUCUGUCGUAUUUUUAAUACAAAGUAAUAAAAAUUUAAUACAAAAAUUAGAUUCUUGGAAUUUUGGUGAUUUUGGCUUGGGUGUUUGUAAUCUUAGCUGGACGAAAGGCUUCACUUCGAUGGCUUGAUAGCAGAUAAAAAUUGAACAAUUAUUCCAAAUUCUCUACAUUGUUGUCAAUUAAGAGUUAUCUUCUAGCGAUAAGAAAAUUAUUACUACAAUAAUGGAUGAUAUUUCUUCUCUCUUGUACUAUUUUAUAUUGAUACCUGUUACCAUACCUGUAUUUCUAUUUUUUAUCACAUUAGCUUGGAUUGGAAAGAGGUUAUUUACGAAUAAUUAGUUUUUGGCAAUCUUCCAUCAAACAUACUUAGUUAUGACUGUUUUCUAUUAAAAUUUUUCUAUCUAAAAAAAAAAAGACGAAUAAAUAAAUUGUUUUAAACGAUUACAUAAGUACUUGGGUGCUUACAAUAAAAUGUAAUUGUCUUUUUUUGCGUUCAUGCGAAGUAAGGUCUAAAACACAUCUCAUACUGAGUUACAUGAUUGAGUCUACUUUAUUUUCUUAUAAAAUAUAUGUAGAAUAAUAGAAUUACUAAUCAUUUUUUUCUAGCCCAAUGUCUUAUCUAUUCGAUUUAUAUAAUUCUACUCAACCUAUAGUUAUUGUUCUCUAUAUCAGCGUAAGUUUUAAAAACACUUAUGUGGUAUAGUAUUGUUUUAACACUACUCAACAAUUCUUUUAUACCACUGUGGUGUUAUUUGGUUAUCUUAGUCAUCGGUAAUUAGUUUGGAUACUCUAGAAGAAAAAGUUGUG